rnacentral:rRNA from 1 species
GGAGUUAGCCGGUGCUUCUUCUGCGAGUAACGUCACAGAUGUAAGGUAUUAACUUACACCCUUUCCUCCUCGCUGAAAGUGCUUUACAACCCGAAGGCCUUCUUCACACACGCGGCAUGGCUGCAUCAGGGUUUCCCCCAUUGUGCAAUAUUCCCCACUGCUGCCUCCCGUAGGAGUCUGGGCCGUGUCUCAGUCCCAGUGUGGCUGAUCAUCCUCUCAGACCAGCUAGGGAUCGUCGCCUAGGUGAGCCUUUACCUCACCUACUAGCUAAUCCCACCUGGGCUUAUCCAUCAGCGCAAGGCCCGAAGGUCCCCUGCUUUCCCCCGUAGGGCGUAUGCGGUAUUAGCAGUCGUUUCCAACUGUUAUCCCCCACAAUGGGCAAAUUCCCAGGCAUUACUCACCCGUCCGCCGCUCGUCAUCUUCAAAGCAAGCUUUUGAAAUGUUACCGCUCGACUUGCAUGUGUUAGGCCUGCCGCCAGCGUUCAAUCUGAGCCAGAUCGAACCCUGA